ACCACCAGCCUCUUUCUAUGGUGCUACCCAUUCCAGGGUUAGGACUGUAACCACCAGCUUCUUUCUAUGGUGCUACCCAUUCCAGGGUUAGGACUGUAACCACCAGCUUCUUUCUAUGGUGCUACCCGUUCCAGGGUUAGGACUGUAACCACCAGCCUCUUUCUAUGGUGCUACCUGUUCCAGGGUUAGGACUGUAACCACCAGCUUCUUUCUAUGGUGCUAGCCGUUCCAGGGUUAGGACUGUAACCACCAGCUUCUUUCUAUGGUGCUACCCGUUCCAGGGUUAGGACUGUAACCACCAGCCUCUUUCUAUGGUGCUACCCCUUCCAGGGUUAGGACUGUAACCACCAGCUUCUUUCUAUGGUGCUACCCAUUCCAGGGUUAGGACUGUAACCACCAGCUUCUUUCUAUGGUGCUACCCAUUCCAGGGUUAGGACUGUAACCACCAGCUUCUUUCUAUGGUGCUACCCGUUCCAGGUUUAGGACUGUAACCACCAGCCUCUUUCUAUGGUGCUACCUGUUCCAGGGUUAGGACUGUAACCACCAGCUUCUUUCUAUGGUGCUAGCCGUUCCAGGGUUAGGACUGUAACCACCAGCUUCUUUCUAUGGUGCUACCCAUUCCAGGGUUAGGACUGUAACCACCAGCCUCUUUCUAUGGUGCUACCCAUUCCAGGGUUAGGACUGUAACCACCAGCCUCUUUCUAUGGUGCUACCCAUUCCAGGGUUAGGACUGUAACCACCAGCGGACUUGAAAAUGAGCUGGAGCUGAGAGGAUCACCAAAACUAAAGUGCUUACAACCAUGCCGACAACCAUCCGUGGAGAUCAGUUGACAAAGGGCUGGACAACGGGCCACACAGAAAAAAACACAUGCCACUGUAAUCGAUGGGGGCUCAGGGCGGUACCAUUCUGCUCAUCUGAUGAAGGUGCUCAUGGGUGAGAUUCAAACUUUGAAGACUGAGAUCGAGUCAUUGAAGGGAGCCCAGCAGAAGGUCCAGAGCCAGGUGUUAUUGGAGGAGGAGAGUCACUCCUCAUUAGUGGAGAGUCAGGUGGAGAUGUGUAACCGAAGAGAGAUACCACGAGUGGGCACAGAAUACAAACUGGGAUGGAUCCCGAGGUAAAUGUGGCUUACCAGUGAACCUCUGGGUGUUCAUCAUUAAUACUGUGUCUCAGAAGUUUCCAGCCAUGACUGAUGCAACCCAAAAAACAUUAAAGACAGAGUUAAUGAGCACUUGAGUUCACAGAGAAAGUCUGGACAUGGCCUGCUCUCCCUUAUGUAAGAAAUGAGGCACUUUCCCAUGUUUACUACAGUAUGUACUGUAUGCUAUGUUUUGUUAAUAAAAUAU